rnacentral:lncRNA from 1 species
CACUAUCAUGGAGGGAGGAUGGGUUUGUAGAGUGUCUUAGGAUCAAAGCCUGACACUAUGUGUCAUUGUGUGUCACUGAGCCCCUCAAUAUAUCCACUGGGGUUUGAUCGAAAAGGAAGAGCCACUAUGAGUGAUAUAGAAUGAAGACAUUUGGGGGAAUUAGACCUUACACAAUUGUGGGAGCUGAUUCAACAGUCUGCCCAAUGCAGCUGUUGCCAUGUCCAGUGUUGGUCCUAAGUCAGUAGAGCCAGCAGUUGGAAAGGAGAGAUGAGUGUGAAGAGGGGGAGAGUAAGACUAGAUUAGAACCCAUGAAGACAAACUGGGACCCUGGAGGACAAACUGGAACUCACAUUUGUCUCACUCUCUUUCAGUGAUGCAAGUGACCUGCAGGAUUCACUGGUGCCCCACAGAGCUGCACAAGCUGGCCCAGGAUUUGGAGAAGCAGAAGAUUCGACAACUUGGAGGUCCUUGGGCUAAAUGGAGGAGAAGGGUAUACAGAGCUGAGAGCCAAGGAAGCCGAUGAGGAAUUGCACUUGGGUGUGGAGAACAAAACUACGUGGCCAUUGAUUGACUCAGGAGCUCUGCUGGAGGUGCCCUUGGCUCCCUGCAUCUUAAUCCUGGCCUGAGAAUGGUCAGUCUACUUGAGGGCCAGUAAUACGAUCUUAAACCUUCAUGACUUACGCCUCAGAGACCUAGUGCCGCACUUGACCCACAAGAGGACUCUUGAACACCAGCUGUAACAUCCACCCCUUUUGCUUCUGUUGCCUCUUCUGGGAGCCCUGACGGGAAAACCCAGUGAGGUUGAGGAUACAGGGGUUUGUGGGAGACCUCCGUCUCUGGAACGAAUCCCCCACUCCUCCAUCAUGCCCACCACACUGGCUGCUUGAUUUCUCUGCCACACUCUAGCUUUUCUCUCUGAAAAACAACUUGCCAGUAACACAGCAAGAAGGCUCAGGGCUCUGAACUAUUGUGUGCAUCCCAGGUGGACUCAGUCCCCAGAUGGAAGAAGGACAAGUCUCCAUCUCAGAGACAGGGAGUGGGAAGGUAACUGGAAUUUUACCUGUGCAAAGUGCCCUACAUCCAGGUGAUAUUUCAUCCUGCUCUGUUCCUUCGUAAAGGUCUCCAGCGAGCAGAAGGGUUCCAUGAGCCUUACUCCUCUGGUCCCAGGCCUUGCCAGGCACAUGUUGCUUUUCCCUGGGAGUAGGGCUGGGCACUCCUGCCUCCCCAUGCCCAUCAGCCAUGGGGUUCCCUUUAAAGGCUCUGGAUUGAGCACAGUCACCUCUAAUGGGACCAUGGAGGACCAGCCCAGCAACCUAGAGCUGCUUCCCAGGCUGCCUGGGAAUCAUUUCAUUUUCUAUUUGCAGAAUCACAGAUGUUGACUUUUGAUCUCUUCCUCUCUCCCUUGGGGGCCUCAAAUCAGUGAUGACAGCUAUUUCAUUUCUUUUUAAUUUUUUUUCUUUUCCCUAUAAAGAGAAAAGGUCAGAAAGGGCUCAGAAAGGUUUUGAAAAUAUUGGAAGAGCUACAUACUGGCUACUGGAAUGCAAAAGAAAAGCUCUAGCCCUCUCUAUGGAAAGCUCAUGGCAAUGACCAGGCAGAGGCUGGGGUGGGCACUCUUUAAGGCAGUAAUGUUAACCUUUAGUGUGUCUGUAAAUCAUUCAGGAGUCUUGUUAUUAAUACAAUGCAAAUUCAGAUUCAAUAGGUCUAAUGCACUCCCAGGCAAGGUCCAUGCUGCCAGCCCAGAACCAUGCUUAGAGGAACAGGUGCUGAGUUUCUUCCUCACCUCCACCUUGCCCCAGUCCUGAAUCCUGCAAUCUGUAAAUGCUCCCUGCUAUCUUCAUGCAGUUGAGUCUUAACAGGCAAGAAGCCAGCCAAGCGAGAAUCUCUCAGCAGACACUUUAAUCAAAUUAAAACCCACAUUUAGAUUUUUAUCACUUUUGAUCAUUUAAACAGAAGAACUUUCAGAUAUAUAUAGAUUUCCAAAGAAGGGAUCACAAGAGGACACUCAGGUGAGGGGUGGGGAGUUGGUGGCAGUGUUGGGGGGGCUUUCUUCUCUCACCCCAUUCUAUCCCCUUUGACUUAUUCAUUUCUUUUAAAUAGCAUUUGGCUCAACUAUUAUGAUCUUAUGCUGAACCUUUUGCCAUCCCAUGAAUGGGCAAGCCUCUGUAUACCCAGUGAAAAUUACCUUU